AACGAUUUCUAAUGACUACCACAUGACUCUGUAAUAGUUGUCAUCAGUAUUUGCUUGUUUAUUUUCAGAUGAGUGAGUAAUAGUUGAUCAAUUUCCCCCACAUACUGAAAAUGACCGAAAACCUGCGUUGAGCAUAGGGCUAAACUUUGGAUUUUAGCUGCACUAUAAUACUAUUAUCCUUAUGAGCAUUUUUGAUAGGUGUCAUGCUGGAUUGGUCUCCGGUGAUUUUAUGUUCAACUUUUCAGUACAGAUAUCAGCGUCUAUAUUUCGAUUGUUUUGACAUUUUUUAGUUCUUCUUUUUCAAGAAAUCUCAUAUUCCUUUGUUUUUUUCAACCUGUGGUUGUUUAAACUACUCUUGUUAUUUAAACAUUUAUUGUUCAAUGUAUUUAAGACAAAAUACAUAGUAUUGAUUAUAUCAGCUAGAUCGUACACUAGAAAAAAAAAAGGAAGAUACCAAACGGACAUUCAAAAACCAUAACUCUAUACACAAAACACCAUGGCAAAGCACAACACCAGGAAUUUUCCAAUUCCUCAAGAAGGUUCAGAACCUUCUGCUCAACAACGUAGUUUUACUCUUUUUCCAGAGAACGUAUUUACUACUUAAAGAUUUUUUUUUUAUUUAUUAUUUUCAGAACUGAAAAAGAUAAAGGGGUCGAGGAAAAAGCAGACCAUAAGUGUACCAGAAGGUGUCGAAGGGGUUGUGACAAGAGCUGAAAAAUUGAACUUAACAACUAUUGUUUAGAUAAUUUGUUUAUGUUGAAGAUUUUCAUAGGAUAUAUUUAUCAAAGAAAUUAAACAAUGAUACCAGGCUUUUA